ACAAGCGGUGGAUCAUGUUGUUUAAUUCGAUGAUACGCGAAGAACCUUACCAAGGUCUUGACCAUCCCCUGCAAAGCUAUGGAGACAUAGUGGAGGUUAUCAGGGAGACAGGUGGUGCAUGGUUGUCGUCAGCUCGUGUCGUGAGAUGUUGGGUUAAGUCCCGCAGCGAGCGCAACCCUCGCCUUUAGUGCCAGCAUUCAGUUGGGCACUCUAAAGGGACUGCCGGUGUCAAACCGGAGGAAGGUGGGAUGACGUCAAGUCCUCAUGGCCUUUAUGUCUAGGGCUACACACGUACUACAAUGGCAGGUACAAAGGGCAGCGACACAGCGAUGUGAUGCGAAUCCCGAAAAGCCUGUCUCAGUCCGGAUCGGAGUCUGCAACUCGACUCCGUGAAGUUGGAAUCGCUAGUAAUCGUGGAUCAGCAUGCCACGGUGAAUACGUUCCCGGGCCUU
rnacentral:rRNA from 1 species